rnacentral:rRNA from 1 species
UACAGGGGGUGCAAACGUUGCUCGGAAUCAUUGGGCGUAAAGCGCACGUAGGCGGUUCGUUAUGUCGGAUGUGAAAGCCCUUGGCUUAACCGAGGAAGUGCAUCCGAAACUGGCGAGCUAGAGUACGAAAGAGGAUCGCGGAAUUCCCGGUGUAGAGGUGAAAUUCGUAGAUAUCGGGAGGAACACCGGUGGCGAAGGCGGCGACCUGGUCCUUGACUGACGCUGAGGCGCGAAAGCGUGGGGAGCAAACAGG